UGGGUGGGACGUAGCCUCACAGUGGUGUGCUUCUGCCCACAGGAGGCUGCGUCCCAUCCA
ensembl:miRNA gga-mir-1670 gga-mir-1670